UACGAAGGGGGCUAGCGUUGUUCGGAAUUACUGGGCGUAAAGCGUGCGCAGGCGGCUUCUCAAGUCAGGGGUGAAAGCCCAGAGCUCAACUCUGGAAUUGCCUUUGAGACUGAGUGGCUUGAGUACGGGAGAGGUGAGUGGAAUUCCCAGUGUAGAGGUGAAAUUCGUAGAUAUUGGGAAGAACACCGGUGGCGAAGGCGGCUCACUGGCUCAUUACUGACGCUCAGGCGCGACAGCGUGGGGAUCAAACAGG
rnacentral:rRNA from 1 species